rfam:Oryza glaberrima chromosome 2 Oglab02_0377_5, whole genome shotgun sequence.
AAUAAGUGCAGCCAUAAGUUUCCGCGUCUAACUUUGAUUGUCCGUCUUAUUUGAAUUUUUUUUAUAAUUAAUAUUUUUAUUGUUAUGAGAUGAUACAACAUAAAUGGUACUUUACUCGUGACUUACGUUUUUUUAAAAAAAAUUUACAAAUAAAACGAGCGGUCAAAGUUGGACACGAAAAACCAUGACUGCACUUAUU